UACGUAGGGGCCAAGCGUUGUCCGGAUUUAUUGGGCGUAAGGAGCUCGUAGGCGGUUGGGUAAGUCGGGUGUGAAAACUCCAGGCUCAACUUGGAGAUGCCACCCGAUACUGCUCUGACUUGAGUUCGGUAGGGGAGUGGGGAAUUCCUGGUGUAGCGGUGAAAUGCGCAGAUAUCAGGAGGAACACCGGUGGCGAAGGCGCCACUCUGGGCCGAAACUGACGCUGAGGAGCGAAAGCGUGGGUAGCAAACAGG
rnacentral:rRNA from 1 species